UCCAAUAAAAAAAUAUCAUACCAUGUAGUUAAACAAGUACUGGACGAGAUUAUCCCGCUCGUUGCAAACGGGAUCUAGAUGGAUCGAUCACGCUCGAUCGCCUCGCCUCUUCUGCUCGACCGCGUAGCGAGCAGCCUCAACCGAUCCAAUACAGCGUUCAAGAAGCUCGCGAUUCAAGAUGGAGAAACCUCAAGGCGGUCUAAAUGCUUGGCCCCUCUCGGCAGACCCACAAAUUUUCAGCCAGCGACAGAAAUAAGGGCCACAACAUUUUCUAACCCCCAGCUCCAUUUUCUUGAGAAAUCGUCGCCUCUUCCUGCGUUUGCUGGCACAUUUUUGUGGAACUGAGAACGAGGAGAAGAAACAAUCCUCAAUGCUUGAGAUAUAUUUUUCUUCUCUGGGUUGUGGUGUUUGAUGCGUGCUUAUGCCACUGAUUUAAGCUUGGAUUUUCCAAAGUGCGCCGCUCUCUUGCGCCAGUGCACCGGACUAGCCAGCCUCCGCGAGCUCCACCACAAGAUCGCUGCUGCCAAUUUGGAUGCGCACACGUUUUUGGGCAACCAUCUCGUCCAGAUGUACGGCAAGUGCGGGAAUACGGCGGAGGCGUUUCUCGCUUUCGAGCGCAUACGGAACAAGAAUCGCUUCUCGUGGAACAUCGUUCUCACGGCAUAUGCCCAAAAUGGGCAUAUUCUGGAGUCGAAAUUUCUCUUUGAAAAGAUGCCGCAGAGAGACCUUUACUCUUGGAACUCGAUGAUUGCGGCGCUAGCACAAAACGGAUGUUUGGAAGACGCGUUUGCGCUGGCCGAGAAGAUGCCCGAGAAAGAUACUGUUUCUUGGAACACGAUACUUGCGGCAUAUGCCGAUUCAGGAAGCUUGCCUAUGCUAAAGACGAUGUUUGAUCGAAUGGAGAAGCGCAAUGCCGUCUCCUGGAAUGCAAUCAUCUCUGGAUAUGGCCAAAAUAACAGUGUGGAACUCGCAGGAAAAUGUUUAGCAAAAAUGCCGCAUAGAAAUCUCUUGUCUUGGAAUGCCAUGCUCGCGGCAUAUGCCCAAAAUGGGUAUUCUGCUAUGACAGUAAAGCUCUUUGCGGAAAUGUGCGUCGAGGGAUUUGAACCCGACGCUUUUACCUGCGUGAGCGUAUUGGACGCCUGCGAUCGCUCCUUGGGCGAGGAGAUCCACGACGAGGUGCGAUUCAAUGGCUGGGAUUCCAGCGUCUUUGUUGGUACGGCGCUCGUGGCCAUGUACGGGAGGUGCCAGUGUGUGGACCGUGCAAAGGAGGUCUUUGGUUCGAUGCCCGAGCGCAACAUUGUGUCAUGGAACGCGAUGCUUACCGCAUAUGCCGAUAAUGGGCAUCUGGAAGAUACCAUGGCUGUGUAUGAGCAUAUGCCAGCUAGAGACCUUGCAUCUGGAAAUGGCCUUGUGUCUGGCUAUGCGCGUUUAGGGCAGUGGGAGAGCGCCCGUGCGGCAUUUUGGUCUCUCCCCGAGAGAGAUGUGGUUUCCUGGAACACGAUGAUCGCGGCGUGUGUCGAGAGGGAUCGUCCGCAAGAAUCGUUCGCGCUCUUCCGGCAGAUGGAUCUCGAUGGCGUUGCGCCAAACAGGAUCACGCUUGCGAGCAUCUUGAGCGCCUGCGAUGGAAGCCAGGAAAAUAUUGCGCACGCGCUCAUCGCUGGGCUGCGGGAUCUCGAGCCGGACGCGAUGAUCGGCACGGCGCUGGUGAUCCUGUAUGGCCGGUGCGGCAGCUGCGAGAAAUCCUUGGAAAUCUUCCACCAGAUGGAGGAGCCGCGCGAUCCAGGCGCUUGGAAUUCGAUCAUCGCGGCGCUGGCACGCAAUGGCCACACCGAUGCGGCGAUCGCGAUGCUCCGCCGGUUGGAAUGCGAGGGGAUCGGGCCGGAUUUCGCCGUUUUCAACAGCAUUCUCUUUGCAUGCAGCCAUGGCGGAUCUCUCUGUGAGGGCUACGCGCAUUUUUUGAUCAUGGCUGGGGAUUACGGCAUCGCGGUCAGCUCCAGCCAUUUCAUGUGCCUGAUCGAUCUGCUGGGCCGCGCCGGGAAGCUGGAAGCCGCGGAGGAGCUGAUCGAUUCGAUGCCAUUCGAGGCGGACGGCCUGGCCUGGACGAUUCUCCUCAGCUCUUGCAAGAGCCACAACGAUGUGGAGAGAGGGGCCAUGGCGGCGAUGAGAGUGGCCGAGUUCGAAUCCUGGGAAAGCUCCACUUAUGUGAUGCUCAGUAGCAUCAUGAGGAAUUAGCUAGGGUUCUUGGAUUGGCCCUAGGCCACAGUGAAUGGCGGACUGGGGAGACGACAACGUCCAAGAAGGGGAGGAAGAGGAUGGAUCGGAGGAUUUCGAGCUUCCGGAGGAGGAAGAAGGCGCUGGAUCGCAGCAGAAUCACGGCAGUGACGAGGAGAGGAGCAGCAGCAGUGGCAACGAGGAAGGGAGCAGCAGCGGUGAGGAGAAUCAAGGCGAUGGCGAUGAUCCGGUGGAGAUUCAGGAUGAUCUUUUCGGCCCCGAUAACGAAGAUUAUAUGCGCACUACUCCGCAGAGCCAGCUUCCCAUACCAAUCCUUCCCGAGCCCCGGAAUGACCAAAGGAAUGAUCACGAGUACCGGCGAGGAAAUCCUCGUGGAGAAAGAAAUUCAUCCUUCUACUCUGGCGGUUUCAAGUCGAAGGAUCUCGUUGCUGACCUGAAGCUUGGCCCUCCUGGCCACUUGGACGAGACCUUGCGCAUUGCAUGCCCCCCUUUUCAAGAGUGGAGAAAUUUGGCUUGCAUGGUGGUUCUUUGGAGCAGCCAAAUCAGAUUUGCUGUUACAGUCGAACACCGGAUGGAACCGUUUACUAUGACGAAAGGUGUCUG